ensembl:misc_RNA 7SK 7SK RNA
GGAUGUGAGGGCAAUCUGGCUACAACAUCUGUCACCCCAGUGAUCAUCUGGGGUUGAUUCAUCUGAUCUGGCUGGCUAGGUGGAUAUCUCCUUUCUCCCUCCCUGCUCCAUGUGUGUUCUUCUGAAGCUGCAUGUUUGGUUGAAAAGGACAACCAUCCCUGCUAGAGGAGGACAGUUCUUCAUUCAAGGGUAUACCUCCCCUACUAGAACCUCCAAAUAAGCUCUCAAAGAAACAAGGAACAAUAUUCCCUAUAAUUCCAGGACUUUACUCUCUUCCU